CAGAGAGUGUACACAACAACCAGAAAUUCUGUUUAACUAAUUUAUAGUGUACAUGCAUCUGUGUUUUUAGUUUAACAACCCAAUUAUGGAACAGGCAUUGAGGAUUUUUCUAAUUUUUUCAGCAUUUAUCGAGUGCAGGGCUGCAGACAAAGUGAAUCAGACUGCUGGAGAUGUCCUUGCAUCUGAAAAAGGAUCAGUGACAAUUUACUGUAACUAUGAAACUAGCACCUCCAAUGCUUACUACCUCUUCUGGUACAUCCAAUAUCCCAAUGAGGCUCCGAAGUACAUGCUGAGAAGAGGGAAUUAUGGACAAGUUGAUACUGCUCCAGAGUACAAGGAGAGAUUUAAUGCCAAUCUGGACAAAACUGCAAUGACUGUACCUUUAAUAGUACAGAAUGUUCAGCUGUCAGACUCUGCUGUGUAUUACUGUGCUCUGAGGCCCACAGUGAGAAUAACCUUCUCACACCCUCUACAAAAACACCUGUGCGAUAAGACUGUGACAUAACAGAGUGAAAGGUUCUUAUACAGGUUUAAAUAACUUAUUUUACAAAUAAAAUUGUAAAACAUUAUUAAUGCUCAGAUAAUAGCA